CCGGCCGAGUCCCGGAGCCCCGGCUGCACAAGGGACCCGGACUGCGCCCCCGCGCGGGCGGAGCGAAGCGGACCCGACCCGGGCGGAGGGGGCCGGGCUGGGCUGCGUGGGGUCCGUGAAACCGCGAGGUCCAGCGGGCAGCGCGGGGACUGUGGCUCCGAGCCCGGGUGGCACCGCGACAGUCGCGUCCCGGGGGCCUCGUCCUCGCCACCUCCCCGCUGCGGGCCGGGGCACUCGGGGCUUCCUGCCCUCAGAACUGUGCCCUGGGUGUGCACGUGGGGCCGAGGGUCCCCUGGCCUGGGCGAGGGUGCAGGGACCCGAAACUGGGUGACUCUUCCCGGUCCCGGUGUGGCUGUCCUGUAACCAUGACGACUGCGGGCUUUGGCACGUGGAUGUGGAUGCAGAGCCUGAAGGCAGGGAUUGGGCAGGUGGUGCAGGGUGAGGGGCCCCUGGGGACGGACCUGCUGGGAGCUGCAGCUGCCCCGAGCUGGGCUCCCUGUGCGUGGUGACAGGGCCUUUGCAGCUGGGGACCAGGUGAUGGACGGUCAGGGGCGGGAGGGGCCUUGUCCGUGGGCAGGGAGCACAGGAAGUCGAUGUGGGCGAGAUAGGAAGAGCUGAGAGGCCGCAGAGGCGUUAAAUGGCUCCGACUGACUGGGCGGCCACACUCGGAUGGAAUUUACCCAUUUAGGAAGUUUCCCACUUCAGGACAGGACGUUUGUCGAACACCUGUUGUGUCCCAUGUGCUUUGUACAGUAGCAGGAUUAAUAAUCCUUGCAAUGGCCCCCACAUGUUAUUACUCUCUUCUUGAUGCAAGAGGGAGCACCCAAGGUUUACAGUGUGUUGUCCCACUUUGGCUUUCUGUUCUAAACAGUUACAGCUCCGGAAACUCAUGUUGAUAGCUAGAUGGACUAAGCAGCCACCCUCAUUCUAAAGCUGAGGAUAGAGGGUCUGAGGUGUGGACUGCGGAGACCCUGGGUAGCAGAGUUCUGCCUGCAGGGGGUCUCUGUCGGCCACCUCAGAAAACAGCUCCCACCGAGGUGAAGACCUUUCCAGCUCCGGGGGUGUGGCUGUCCCCCGAAUGGAGCGUCUCUGUGCAGGGCACGCAAGGCCUCGGGGCAUGUGGAGUCCCCGGAACUGGAACGUGUGGGCAGCGUGGGUGACCUGUGCUUGCACAGGCCUCGUUGUGUCUGUCACCUGUUGGAUCACAGGCGCUCCGACCAGGUCUGCACACCAGGAAGCAAAGGAACAUGGCUCAUUCCCAGGGAAUCCAGGAGCGUGCAGAGACUCCUGAAGAGGAGCAUGUUGAAUGCAUGUGCUUUCAGUAGACGAUGUGUCGGUAUCAGCAAGGCCAAAUGUCUCACAAAUGUUUCCCGUCACCAGACAAACCGUGGCCUGCGCCUGAGGACACACGUGGGUCUGCAGCUGCUGCGCUGUCCGCGUGCGGCGGUGUGCGAUGACCUUUCCUUCCCCGGGAGCCCUCCGUGACCCCUCCACCCCACGAAGCUCCUUCGCCCCUCACCUCCAAUCGCUGCAUGUCCACCCAGGCGAGGCUGCCUGGAGCGACACUUGCCACCUGCAUCCUCCCUGUGAAAGCUCUGUCUCCCAGGCACCGAGGCCCAGGCCUGCUCCCUCCUGCCCGCGAGGCUGUAUCUGGAGGAAAAGGCCGAACGCUGUCAUCUCGGUCUCUGUCUCCGUAUUCCCCCGCACGUAUGGCCACGACCCUUUCUGGCUGCAGACGCUCCCCACUGCUGUCUAAGCCCUGCUUAUGCCCUAAAUGAGAAGCGGACCUCUCAGAGCCCAGCACUCCACUCCUCGUGCUCCUCCCAGCGGCCCCGAGGCAGGGGCGGAUUCCAGUCACAACCAAACCUCAGCGUCUGCUUCCAGUGGCUGCGACUUCACACAACGUUUUGCCGCUCCAUUCUGUGCGAAGGAAACCCCAUUUCCACAAUCCCCUACUCAGAAUUCUAUGCUAAGAUUUUAAAUUUGAGAACAAUUGAGCAGUCAGUUUUCUAACUCAGUCAGCUUUGGUACACUCAUGUUGAGGUGACACUUUUGUGCCUUCAGCACUUGUGCCUUUUACACAAGUAACAAACCCCAGUGCCUGAUGCCACUGACAUCUAGUGAAUUAACACCAGUAUCCUGAUUUUUUCCAUGACAUAAGAACAGGUAUUGGUUGUUGAAGCUUGAUAAGUUAGGACACAGAAUGCGGAUUUUAUUCCAUAGGAGAUGGGAACCGCGGAAGACUGCAGCUGCACAGUAACUAAGGAGGGACUCAGUGCGUCAGGAAGGUGGCCUAGGGAUCGUUUUCAAGGAGAGCAACUAAGGAAGCCUAGGCGUAAGUGUGCUAAGGGCCGGGCUGCUGCAGCACUGAUGAGGACAGAAAAGGAGACUGGAGAAUUAGAAGGAAGAAUUCCCCAGAAGGUUAUGUCAUAUUUGCCUGCUGUUGAUUUGCCAUUUUCCCUGCUGCACAUUUGAAGGGUCCUUGCUCUCACGGAAACUUCGACCUCAGCCCGACAUGGGCUGUCUUACCUUUCUGGCAGAACCUGGUGCGUACAUCUGAACUGCACACCCUCACUGACCUCAGACUUCUCACUGCCUGUCCAUGGCUUCUGAAAUCCAUCGUGGAGCACGCAGCACCUCCCGCAGUGUCAGGUCUCGGGUCAUGCUGGCCUCCACAGGAUGGGGAGGUCCCCUCGUCCUUCCUGCUGGAGGAAGAUAGCUAUUUCAGGGAGGCAGAGUCUGUGCAGACUCCGACUUCCAGACUCAUGCCAUGGAACCAGGAAGGGAAGCCAUGCCUCUGCGUACUCAGUGUAAGCGUGGAAGAGUGGACAGAUAUCUGUUGCUACUCAUCUCUAACAUUUGGUGAGGCAUUGCUCGGGCUACUCAUCCUGAGUGGAAUUCCUUCCCCUUCUUUCCUUAGCAGUUUGGUAUCCUGAUUUUCAGAAACCAGUUCAGACUUCAUCUCUGCCAGAUACCAAUCCAGAAGACGUAAAUCCCGAACCUAUUGUCACACAUCUCUCACCUUCACGAAGACAGUUUAGUUUAAAUUAUUUUCUGUGGCAAAUUCAUCUCCUCAGAAAGCCUGGAGCAGACGCUGAGGUCCAGGUCUCCCCUCCUUUCUCCCUCGAAGCCCUUCAUAGCAAUCGUUACUGCUGCUAAUGAAAUAGCAAAUCUAAGGAGAGCUUUGGGAGCUGAGAUUAGGAUCCUGAGGCAUAUGUAGAGCUAGAAAUAGCACUUUGUGUACAUAAGUAAUGGCGUGGCUUCUCAGGCACUUUUUCCUCAGUGUUGGUCAUGCAUAAUCAGCGGUGGUGGGACAAUUAUCUCUUUCUCAGACAAAAACAUCUAAAUAUGCCUUUAAGGUAUCAAUAGUGUUUUAGUUUUUAAAAUGUGUUAUGACAAUGAUGAAUUUUUUAUCAUCAUACUAGUAAGCUAAUGAGCUAUGAAAAUUCUCCAAGCACUCUAUUUUGCCUCUUUGUUACCAGUUUAUAUAUGCUUUAGAUUAUCUGCAUUCAAAAGGCCAUCUCCUAAGGGCCAAAUCUACUGCAUGAAAGUAGCAUACCGCAGUUCAGAAAGCAGAAUUCGAAGCUCAGUGUCACAGCCUGCCUGCACCGAACAUCCACACGCAACUCUGGAAUGCCUCCAGCAGUGCAUGUUUUGUUAAAACUUGUUUAACAGAACUGGUAACAGAGGGUUUUUUGUUUGCUUCUUUGUUCAUUUUGUUUAAUUCUAGUAGUGGAAACAAUUGGUGUGUAGCCCUGACCAGCUGAUCUCAGGAUACCUAUUUGGAAAUCCCUCUGAUUGGGAAAAUAGUAAUAAUAAAAUAUGUUUUGUCUAGUUUGCCUCAUGGACUCAUGGCAUUACAGAACAACACAAACAAAAAGGCC
rnacentral:lncRNA from 1 species